rnacentral:rRNA from 1 species
UACGGGGGGGGCAAGCGUUGUUCGGAAUUACUGGGCGUAAAGGGCUCGUAGGCGGCCAACUAAGUCCGACGUGAAAUCCCAAGGCUUAACCUUGGAACUGCGUCGGAUACUGGAUGGCUUGAAUUCGGGAGAGGGAUGCAGAAUUCCAGGUGUAGCGGUGAAAUGCGUAGAUAUCUGGAGGAAUACCGGUGGCGAAGACGGCAUCCUGGACCGACAUUGACGCUGAGGAGCGAAAGCUAGGGGAGCAAACGGG